rnacentral:rRNA from 1 species
GACGAACGCUGGCGGCGUGCUUAACACAUGCAAGUCGAACGAUGAAGCGGUGCUUGCACCGUGGAUUAGUGGCGAACGGGUGAGUAAUACGUGAGUGACCUACCUUUGACUCUGGGAUAAGCCUGGGAAACUGGGUCUAAUACCGGAUACGACCAAUCUCUGCAUGGGGUGUUGGUGGAAAGCGUUAUGGAGUGGUUUUAGAUGGGCUCACGGCCUAUCAGCUUGUUGGUGAGGUAAUGGCUUACCAAGGCGACGACGGGUAGCCGGCCUGAGAGGGUGACCGGCCACACUGGGACUGAGACACGGCCCAGACUCCUACGGGAGGCAGCAGUGGGGAAUAUUGCACAAUGGGCGCAAGCCUGAUGCAGCGACGCCGCGUGAGGGAUGACGGCCUUCGGGUUGUAAACCUCUGUUAGCAUCGAAGAAGCGAAAGUGACGGUAGGUGCAGAGAAAGCGCCGGCUAACUACGUGCCAGCAGCCGCGGUAAUACGUAGGGCGCGAGCGUUGUCCGGAAUUAUUGGGCGUAAAGAGCUUGUAGGCGGUUGGUCGCGUCUGCUGUGAAGGCCGGGGCUUAACUCCGGUUUUGCAGUGGGUACGGGCUAACUAGAGUGCAGUAGGGGAGACUGGAAUUCCUGGUGUAGCGGUGGAAUGCACAGAUAUCAGGAGGAACACCGAUGGCGAAGGCAGGUCUCUGGGCUGUAACUGACGCUGAGAAGCGAAAGCAUGGGGAGCGAACAGGAUUAGAUACCCUGGUAGUCCAUGCCGUAAACGUUGGGCACUAGGUGUGGGGGACAUUCCACGUUUUCCGCGCCGUAGCUAACGCAUUAAGUGCCCCGCCUGGGGAGUACGGCCGCAAGGCUAAAACUCAAAGGAAUUGACGGGGGCCCGCACAAGCGGCGGAGCAUGCGGAUUAAUUCGAUGCAACGCGAAGAACCUUACCAAGGCUUGACAUGCAUUAGAUCGCGUCAGAGAUGGCGUUUCCCUUCGGGGCUGGUGUACAGGUGGUGCAUGGUUGUCGUCAGCUCGUGUCGUGAGAUGUUGGGUUAAGUCCCGCAACGAGCGCAACCCUCGUUCUAUGUUGCCAGCGGUUCGGCCGGGGACUCAUAGGAGACUGCCGGGGUCAACUCGGAGGAAGGUGGGAUGACGUCAAAUCAUCAUGCCCCUUAUGUCUUGGGCUUCACGCAUGCUACAAUGGCCGGUACAGAGGGUUGCGAUACUGUGAGGUGGGGCUAAUCCCUUAAAGCCGGUCUCAGUUCGGAUUGGGGUCUGCAACUCGACCCCAUGAAGUCGGAGUCGCUAGUAAUCGCAGAUCAGCAACGCUGCGGUGAAUACGUUCCCGGGCCU